rnacentral:rRNA from 1 species
GAUGAACGCUGGCGGCGUGCUUAACACAUGCAAGUCGAACGGAAACAGGAUGAAGCCUAGCGAUUCCUGUUUUAGUGGCGGACGGGUGAGUAACGCGUGGGUAACCUGCCUUACACUGGGGGAUAACAGUUAGAAAUAGCUGCUAAUACCGCAUAAGCGCACAGGGCCGCAUGGCCUGGUGUGAAAAACUCCGGUGGUGUAAGAUGGACCCGCGUCUGAUUAGCUAGUUGGUGAGGUAACGGCCCACCAAGGCGACGAUCAGUAGCCGGCCUGAGAGGGUGAACGGCCACAUUGGGACUGAGACACGGCCCAAACUCCUACGGGAGGCAGCAGUGGGGAAUAUUGCACAAUGGGCGAAAGCCUGAUGCAGCGACGCCGCGUGAGCGAAGAAGUAUUUCGGUAUGUAAAGCUCUAUCAGCAAGGAAGAUAAUGACGGUACUUGACUAAGAAGCCCCGGCUAACUACGUGCCAGCCGCCGCCGUAA